rnacentral:lncRNA from 1 species
UUUAAUUUUAGAUAAAUAUUUAAUUUAGUCCUUAAAUUAUAUCCAAUUUUAUUUUUAUUUUUUUAUUAUAAAUUAGUCCAUAAAUUUUAAAAAUUAUUUGAACAUGUAUGGGGUCCAUACAUGUUGACACCAAAUGAAGACCUUCUUGAAGCGAUUUAUUCGGCACAUAAGCAUUUAUGAAGAAGAACGCUGCUUGGAGCUUUCUGGAGAUUUAAAUACAAAGUAGAAGUAAUGUCGGUGAUGAGUAAUGACUUGAACCGAAC